GUGUUUCUGCAAUGAAGUGUUGUUUCAUAUUCUAAGUAUUUUCUGUAAAUUAAUAUCAAGACUUUGCAUUUCUUUCAGCUUUUGGAUUAACUGUGGUUAAUGUAAAAGUGCGCACUGCCACAGCAGAAGGAAGGGAGCUUGCUGGUGCCAGCAGACUCUCCCUUUCAUAGGACCAGAGAGAAAAAUGAAACUAGACUCUCCCCAAGGUGGACAAGGGGUCUCUUGUAAAAGUUCCAAAGUCACUAGAGGAACUGAUAUAUAGAAAAAUCACAGCUGCUUCCCUCUUGUGCAUCUUCACUGGGGGAGAGAUGUUUUGUUUUCCUUUGAAGAAGACGUAUGUGAUAGGAAGAGAGCCGUUCUCCGAGAGGCAAGACAGGGUCACAUUCUGGCCUUUCUUUGCUUGAGAGGUGGAGAUCCAGAGUCUGAGUGGCAGGAGAGGCUCACGUUCUGGUUCAUCACUACAUUCAAAGUCCUCUGAACAGACAUGAGCCUGGGAUUGGACAGCAUCUCUGGAAAGAAGAAACUUCUGACUGGCAGGAAGCAACUGUAAAAAUGCAGCUGCUGGGAGAAGAACCAUGAGCGCUCGUGCAUCUUCCUGUUGUGGGAGCCUGUUUUUUUGUCAGAAAACCACAAAAAAAGGGCCUUAAGACGCUCGCAGCUAGGUGAUGGAGGUGGAGAGGUGUCCCGAAAGCUGUGGAAGGAGGCCGCGGUCUCUCCCUCCUGUCAGGAGGAGGGUGCGGCCGGCACGGGGCAGCCGCCGGGAGGCCGCUGAGGGCUGUGGCGAGGAGCCCCCGCCGCCCGCGGCCGCCUCCCUCGGUGCUGGCGGCGGUUUGGGUUGUUGGCGCCGGCCCGCCGGUGGCUGCGGGCGAUGAGGGGGCCUGGGCCUUCCCCCGAGGCGCGGGCAGGGCGGGUGGGAGGCGCCGUAGGCUGCCGGCUCCCUCACACACAGCCGGCGGCCGCCUGCGGAGGGGUCACGGAGCCCGCCAGCCGCCUCCCACUCCUCCUGCUGCGGGGAGCCGCUGGGGGAGCGGGCACUGAACGCUUUACUGAUUCGGUGUGUAAUAGCGAGUAGUUAUUGUGAGCUGUGACUUUGACCGUAGAAAAGAGAAGUUUAGUUGUCACUAGGAUCUCUCGAGGGCAGCAGCUUUAAAUAACGUGUGUGCAGGCAGCGUGGUUGGUCCCCUCAGGACACGCGGCCUGGGUGCCGAGGGACGAGGGGCUGGUUCAGAAAACCGGUCUGCGUUUGGGACGGGAGGAGGGCAAUUCCAGAGCUCUCCGUGCCUUUCUUGGCUGGUUUGGACUCUGCCGAGCAGCCCUGCUCCCGCGCUCGCCUCGGGAGGAGAUCCUGCGGUUCGGUGCAUCUGUGUCCUCAGUGCUUGUUUUGGUGGUUUUGGGUUGUUUUGUUGAGGUUUUUUCCCCUUGAAAUUUGGGUUUAGGGGCUGAAAUAGGAGGGAAUAUGUUUUCUUUGACACAUCCCGUUCAUCUCAACUAUACAUGCAGGAUUACAGGGAAGAGCUGUGUUUCAUUUAACAUUACAAUAGUUGUGCAUAACUAUUUCAACUGCUCUAAUACCUGUUUGCUUCUCGACUUUCAUAAUUGCUUUGCAGAGCAUUAAUAGAGAUACUUCUUAUGUAAAAAGAUUUUUGAACCGUUAUGGUAGAAGUUGGUAGCUGAGGCUUACUGAUGAAGUUUGUAUAAAAUCCAGACUGCAAUUGCUAGAUCACCACUGGGGGAGUAAUAAUAUGUCCUGGUUAGAAAAUGGGACUUCAGAUGAAGUUCAUAACAUAAAUUAUUAAGUUAAGUAGAUAUAAAGAAGCUUACAGAAAAAUUUACUUGACUACUGAGUCCUAUAAGGGCAAGGAAGGGUUGGAUGUACUAAAAUUUCGUUAAAGCGUAAUCCAGCAGACUGUGUGUACUCAUGGGAGUUGUGCAUGCCAAUGAUGCAUUCUUAUUCUCAAGCACUACUCUUAGAAUAACACUUUUAAUUUCUGCUGGUUUAUGUGGAUAUAAUUGUGAUGAGUAUUCAACAGAUCUGAAGGUGGAUAGUGUCUUUAUGGCGGCUUUGUAAAAGGCUUUAAGGCAGUACUUUUUUUCCACGCGUGCUGGAAGUGUCCCAGAUUUAAGAGAAUGAGCUUCAUUAAAUCCUGUAGUAUUACUCCGAGGCAAAAUAUUACUGUCUUAUUUUGUCCUUCAGCAAGGAGAACAUAUGGCAUCUGGUUGGCCAUACGAUCAAUGUGAAACAGGGAAAAAAGGCAGAAUUAGCCCUUGGCAUUACUUUUCUGUGAGGUUUUGAAUACUGACUUUACCUUUGAACACUAGUGCAUUAAUCGUUUGAAGAGUGUCCUAGAUAGUAGUAAACAAAGUUUACUUCCAUGUUGAUUGUUUUUUUUGGCAGAGUUGGCCAUCAACUUUGGACUAAUAUGAUGUUGAUCAGUUCAAUACGUAUACAUAGAGUUCUAUAGCAUCAAUAAGAUACUGUGCGAGCUUCAAGUUCCCUUUUUAUUAGACUUACAAGUUUCCUGCCUGGAAUUAAUGUGGUUCUAUAUGUAGGAAGACCUGAAUAAAUUUAACAAAAAGUAAGGAACAGAAGUCAUCCAGCCAAAACAAGUAAGUUAAAAAGUCUGAAGGGGAGGUGUGUGUCACUUGGUGCUGUGACAAUAUUCUGCCUGAGGCAAGCAGGUGGAAGAGAAUAAGAGCCAAACUGAGCUUUCAUUCACAAGGUCAAUUCUUUGACUUGAGAAUGAAAAUAGCGUGAGAUAGCAUUCUGUAGUAAGGCUGUGAAGGCCUCACACUGUAUCUGUCCUAUUCUAGGCUUCCAGGGAAAUUUGCAUGUUUCAGCAGAAUUGUUAAAGUUAUUCCCACUCCCAGUUUCUUACGCUGAGAGGUCCUCCGUUCUGGAAGAGCAUCUGCUAGGGUAGAUGUCUGCAGAAUGCUUUGCUAGAAAUCGCCAUAUACUGACAGUUAUGUCUGGUGAUGAAUUAAAUUAAGCCCUUCCUUCUGUUUUGUCUGAAAAAAGGUUUUACUGAUAUGGCUAGAUCAUCACAGAAUACCGUAUUUUAACACUCCUACUCAAAAUGCCUGGGGCAGCAAGUCAGCAGUUUAUUUUAACUGCCUCGUAUUUGAUUGUGAGGAGGUUGUUUUUCUAGAGGACAAGUAAGAGUGGAAGAGGAAAGGAUCUUUUCUAUACGCAGUUUUAAGAUAGUUUUAAAUUUCUCGCGGUGAUCGUCGGGUUCUGAAUGCAAAUUUUCAUGUAGUGAAUGAACUGCGAAUUGCAAGGAACAUGUCAGCAGGUGAAAGGUACUUUUGGGUACCCAAUUUGAUUAACUUCACAGCUCCCAAGUCCCCCAAAGAUGAAAUACUUUAAAAUGGUACUUCUUCCCUCUGCCCCCUUUCUCCCUCCCCCCCAAAAAAAAGGAAAAAGAAAAAUUUUGAUGAGGCACAAAAGACUGAGGUUACUAAUGCAUUUCUCUUGCGAUAAAUUCUGACAUCUCUGUCUGAAAAGUAUUCCAGACAAAUGUGUUCAGGAAUUGGUAUGAGAAACUACAGGUUAAAAAAAUGGACUAUGCUCUUAAUCGUCAUUACAAACUCAUAGGUGCAAUUUUAACUUCAGCUUCCUCACCUUUGGCAAAAAUUAACUUUUUUUUUUUUUUUAACUUUGAAUGCUUAACAUACUGAAUGAAAAAAGCGUGAAAAAAAAAAAGAAAGAAGAAACCUGCAAGGACUAUGUCUGUUUUCGAGCCCUUUUCAGACUUCUGUUUGUGUGCUCUGAGGAGUAUCUCCCCUUUGUGCAUCCUAACCAGAAGUUAUCGGGAGCAGCAACGGCUGUGUGUGGACACCUGCUGCAGAUGAAUUUCUAAGGUACAUGAAAGUGCAUGCUACAUGAAAUACAAGCCAAGACUUCAGAUUCCCAGUGUUAAUUUCAAUGUUGCACCAUAUCGUGUUUUGGAUGCAGAAUUAAUCAUCCCUGAUUUCAGUUUGGCUGCAAUAUUGUCCGGCUACUUAUGCUAUUGCAAAAGACUAAACAACACAGAAAAGUGUAAAGCUGUUCUUCACCACAGCAAAGACGAGACACCUAUAAAUGGAGGUAAAGAGGAAAAAUGAAUGAUUAUGUACGUGUGUUCUCUGAAAGAGGUUUCCAUGUCAGGAUGAAGGGAAAUAUUUGCUCAAGGAUCUGCUGAGGCCAAAUAGCAAAGGUAAUUUGUGUUCGUAAAUGGUUAAUCGCGACUUAAAAAUACCCGUAUUGACAGGAACUGCAGGAUAAAUGUCAUUGGAACUUCUUGUUUUUUUAAUACACCU